rnacentral:tRNA from 1 species
GCCCCUGUAGCUCAGUGGACAGAGCAGUGGCCUUCUAAGCCAUGUGUCGUGCGUUCGAAUCGCACCAGGGGUG